rnacentral:misc_RNA from 1 species
UCGGGCAUGUGGGGCUGGAAGACAGCCUAUAGCGACUCACCGACAGGCUAGGGCGCAGUCCCGAAGGCCCCAGCGGCCUUCGGACAACGUGUCCGAAGUUGUUCUUGAUUGAAAACUGGANNUGAUGUCGAUCUCGCUCUCAACCCUUAAGGCCAUAUGUGCCGCCGUCGCGGUGCUGUUUGUGCUGGCUCAGCCAGCCGCCGCGCAGCUAUCGUUCAAGCCCACCGCCGACGCUGUGCAUGAAGACCAGCUUCUCAAGGC